CCUACGGGAGGCAGCAGUGGGGAAUAUUGGACAAUGGGCGAAAGCCUGAUCCAGCAAUGCCGCGUGAGUGAUGAAGGCCUUAGGGUUGUAAAGCUCUUUUACCAGGGAUGAUAAUGACAGUACCUGGAGAAUAAGCUCCGGCUAACUCCGUGCCAGCAGCCGCGGUAAUACGGAGGGAGCUAGCGUUGUUCGGAAUUACUGGGCGUAAAGCGUACGUAGGCGGUUAUUCAAGUCAGAGGUGAAAGCCUGGAGCUCAACUCCAGAACUGCCUUUGAAACUAGAUAGCUAGAAUCUUGGAGAGGUGAGUGGAAUUCCGAGUGUAGAGGUGAAAUUCGUAGAUAUUCGGAAGAACACCAGUGGCGAAGGCGACUCACUGGACAAGUAUUGACGCUGAGGUACGAAAGCGUGGGGAGCAAACAGGAUUAGAUACCCUGGUAGUCCACGCCGUAAACGAUGAUAACUAGCUGUUCGGGCUCUACGAGCUUGAGUGGCGCAGCUAACGCAUUAAGUUAUCCGCCUGGGGAGUCGGUCGCAAGAUUAAAACUCAAAGGAAUUGACGGCUUGAGAGNGCGAGGACGACGACGAGGGAGAGG
rnacentral:rRNA from 1 species